ACUUGUCUUUUCCAAAACUUGAUAAUUUUUUUGAUCUGCAAUUACUUACUGUGUAAUUUAGUAAAUACUGUAAUUACAUGAUGUGGCAUUGUUUUCUAUGAUUCAGGGUUGAUGCUGCAAGAGAAUAUGGCUCGUUGGGUAGACUUAUUAAUGACAAUCAUAUAAACCCAAACAGCAAAAUGAAAAUAAUCAAUGUUGAUAGAAAACCCCAUUUGUGCUUAUUCACAACAAAGGACAUCAGUCUAGGACAAGAGAUCACUUAUAACUAUGAUGUUUCAGAAUGGCCAUGGAGGAACAAGGUGACCUCUGACACUGAAAUCCAGACCAAUAUUUCACUCAGCUGUGCAGGACAGAAAACUGGAACACAGAAGGUAAAUGACUGAGAACACUGACUGUAUAUUUUUCCAUAGUUCAGCUCUAUAUAUGCUAAAACUGUUACAAAGUUUACUGUUUAUACAGUUUGUCAGUUCUGUAAGGAUUUACAUGUGUUAAUACACUCUUUAAAAAAAGGUUCCUUGAGGUUCUAUAUAGAACCUUGGGGUUCUAUACUUGGCCAGUAAAACCUUUUACCCAAAAAAACGGUUACAUUUAGAACCCUAUGACUGCAACAAACCUUUUUGAUUAAAAUGGUUCUAUAAUUUUUUUAAUCAUAACAUAAUUAUGUAGUAAAGAUUAUAAAAAAAUUAUAAGCUAUAACACAGAGAGACAAAUCUUUUUGAGUAAAAACCUAAUAAAAUGAAUGCUGUGGUCAAAAACUUAAUCAGUGUACAUUAUGAUGGGAUUUUUUUAUGCAGGUUUGUACAAUAGCAUAUAACUUAUAGGCCUAGUUUAUAUAUACUCAAUGUUUAACAUUUUUGACAAAUUAUUUUGUGAAAUAAAUAAAAUAACCAAUUUAUUUAGACUGUGCAGUAACAUGUUGUUAUGGUUUAAUAAUUUAUUUGAAACUAAUAAUCAUAAAAAAGCUCUCUGGUGACGUCAGUCAUUGACAAGGACAUCGUCAUGGACCGGUGGUGAAGAGCCUCGAGAGUGAAGGUUAAUUUUUCGAAAGGAGAAGUCCACUAUUUCAGCUUCAUCAUUCAGCCUGGAAACUGAACUGCUUCAUAAAACUUGUGCUUGAAAAGUGUCAUGGGACCCAUAUUAAGUUUCCAAAUUUGAUCUGCUGCACACAAGUAGCUUUGAAGAAGAAGGAUCCCAGCUUAAAGAAAAACAUGUGUCACAUCCAUAAUUGUUUGACAUCAUCUUCAAGCACACCUGUGAGAAUAUUAAGGUCGUUGCUUAAAAAAAGUCCUGCAGAGAAGAAAUAUGUAUUGAAAGGUGUAAAUUUGCCUACAGGAUUCCUUGUUGCAAUGUCUUCAAAACAAAUGUAAAAAUGAAAGGAUUUCAGUGGUGAGCUCAUAAUGAUGGGAUCAAAAGGAAGUGAACUGGACUCUGAGGGACUUAACACAA